CGCGUUUUGGGCUUACUUUUUAUAGGUCUAAUUAAUUAAGGUCCUGCUUUCUCCUACGACCGUUUGAUUUAGAAAAAUUCGUUGCUUUGUAACACAAUCCAUCAAAAUUGAAAUAUAUAGCGUCCCUAUCGUGUACCGUGAAAAUUAUUUUCAUGGACAACACACUACAAUUUAAAACAGCUAAAAUGACACCUAUGUCGUGUACCAUGAAAAUUAUUUCAUUUCUCUUUAAGUAAGUACACCAUUCUUAAUUUGUAGGCCCAUUUCUUCUUCAUAUUGAAGCUCAAAAAAUUCAUUUUCUCCGGAUUUAGCGGCUGUCUUGAAGAGGUGCUCGGUACCCACAUUGAAGCCCGACUAAAUUCGAAUUCGUGCCGCGCAGGACCCAUUCGGGGGAAGCGCUUCUUACGAAGGAUUUUCUCAUACCUAAGGGUUGAACCUAAGAUCUCUGAUUAAAGAAGGAUCAGUCUCAUCGCUGCACCACAUCCUUUGAUUGGUUGAUUCAUGCCACAAAUUAUAUUGUUGCAUCUUGUUGAUUUCUUCAACCUUGCUACCUAGCUCGAAGGCAAAAAGGUUAGAGUUUUUUGGUUUUAGUCGUUAAAGGCAUUUAUUAGUUCACUUAAACAAUUAUUUGUUUUUAAAUACAAGAACCUAAUCUAACCAAUAUAAGUCAUUUUUUAUUAGCUCAAUUUCUAUAGGUUUUGUUUUAUCGAUUUCUCGGUUUGUCAAAUUUUAGUAAGAUUGAUUAACUUGUUGGAUAAUGAGUCUUUAAUUAUCCCGUGGUCUUUAAUUUUAGUUAUUUUUUUAAAGUACAAGCACCUAUCAAACCAAUUAAGUCAUUUUUUAUUAGUUCGAUUUUUGUAGUUUUUUUUCGAUUUUAUUUUAUUUUUGUCGAUUUUUUGAUUUGUCAAACUUUAGUAAGAUUGAUUAAUUUGUUGGAUAAUGAGUCUUUAAUUAUCCUGUAGAUCUUUCAUUGUUGACCGGCAACACCUUUUCAAAUCUUAUGAAUGUAGUGAGUAGGGUAAAUGCAAGAUAUUUGAUGAAUGUUAUCCUCUUGUAUUUCAAAUUACAUAAAUAAGCGUUUAAGUCCCAGUACUCCACCAACCCCUUGGUGUGAUAGUCAUAAUUUUAAUGGGCAUCACCUAAGAAUUAAUAAAGGGCUUGAUAGCAUAGAGUAUACACAUGGUACACAACUCAAUAGUUCUCUUUUUAGAUUUUUUUCUUAUUGAAAUAUACAUUUAUUUUAUAAUUUAUAAAGGUUAAGUAAGGAUAUCGUUGCAAUGAUGAUUUGGUUGUUUCUCAUUUUCCGAGGGAUUUGGUUGAUUCAUGGCAUAAAUUUUCUUAAACGUCCUGCUGAUUUUCUUCUACCUUGCUACAUCAGGGCCUUAGCUAUCACUACAUCACAGAGUUGAAGGCAAAGAAGGGUUAGAAUUUUUCUUUUCUGGGUGUUCAUAAUCGUUAGAGAUUUUUGUCAAAUUUUUUUUAUUACUUUUUACUUUAAACACAAUUUAAUUUUGGGAAAAUAACACUGUAUGACAAUUAUGACAAAAUAAUUCCCCGGUUUAGCCCAUCUUUAUUUUAUUACCCGCUAUAGCCACUUUUUCACUCUUCUGUUUUUUCCUUCCCACUACCCUAGCUCAAACCAACGGACAAUGGGAAAGAGGAAUACACUGGAGUAUUAAAUUCUUCUGCUUCUCUCCAAAUGCUUCACUGGAAUUUUGCCCUUUCAUCCAUGGUAGAAACACCCAUGAGAAACCCAUACCAAAAGAAUUUCGUUUAAGCGUUUAUAAACACGUUUUAUACAUUUUUAUAUGGUAUAGAAGUGUGUAUAAACACCUCUUAUACAUUAUGUAUAAACCCCUCUUAUGUAUACACACCUCUCGUAUAAGUUUGUAUAAUAUUGUAUACUAGUCUUAUACAUUAUUAUACACCUUUAUACAAGGUUGAUACAUUAUCUACUCCGGGCGCAUAAAGUUGUAUAUUGUUGUAUACUGUUGUAUACUGUGAAAAAGUGACUAUGCGGGGUGUAAUUUAAAAAUAUGGCUACGCAAAUAUAAUUUUGUAUGAUGUCACAGAUAUUAGGUUAGAUCCA